AUGAGUUGGAGUUAUGAUUAUCUUAUGGUUAUGAUUGUUGCUUUCUUUAAUUAUAGCUGGUCCGACUCAUUUGAUCCUCAUCGAGAUUUUGAUAAUGUAGAAGCUGCUACUCCUUUGUGGUAUCCUGGGUGAUGUAGGUGGUGUGUAACCACCAGUAGCCUCUGACUUUGGGGUUGUUGUUUUGUUACUCCUUUCAUUUUGUUGGUUUUGGCAAACCUCAAUAAAGUCGAAGAAGCUCA